rnacentral:rRNA from 1 species
CCUACGGGUGGCAGCAGUGAGGAAUAUUGGUCAAUGGGCUUACGCCUGAACCAGCCAAGUCGCGUGAGGGAAGACUGCCCUAUGGGUUGUAAACCUCUUUUGUCAGGGAGCAACGCCGGCUACGUGUAGCCGGACUGAGAGUACCUGAAGAAAAAGCAUCGGCUAACUCCGUGCCAGCAGCCGCGGUAAUACGGAGGAUGCGAGCGUUAUCCGGAUUUAUUGGGUUUAAAGGGUGCGUAGGCGGAAUGCCAAGUCAGCGGUAAAAUCGCGGGGCUCAACCUCGCUCCGCCGUUGAAACUGGCGUUCUUGAGUGGGCGAGAAGUAUGCGGAAUGCGAGGUGUAGCGGUGAAAUGCAUAGAUAUAUGGAAGAACACCAGUGGCGAAGGCGGCUUUCUGGUCUGUAACUGACGCUGAGGUUCGAAAGCGUGGGUAGCAAACAGGAUUAGAUACCCUUGUAGUC